AUUGAACGCUGGCGGCAGGCCUAACACAUGCAAGUCGAGCGGAUGAAGGGAGCUUGCUCCUGGAUUCAGCGGCGGACGGGUGAGUAAUGCCUAGGAAUCUGCCUGGUAGUGGGGGAUAACGUCCGGAAACGGGCGCUAAUACCGCAUACGUCCUGAGGGAGAAAGUGGGGGAUCUUCGGACCUCACGCUAUCAGAUGAGCCUAGGUCGGAUUAGCUAGUUGGUGGGGUAAAGGCCUACCAAGGCGACGAUCCGUAACUGGUCUGAGAGGAUGAUCAGUCACACUGGAACUGGGACACGGUCCAGACUCCUUCGGGAGGCAAGCAUGGGGAAUAUUGGACAAUGGGCGAAAGCCUGAUCCAGGCAUGCCGCGUGUGUGGAGAAGGUCUUCGGAUUGUAAAGCCCUUUAAGUUGGGAGGAAGGGCAGUAAGUUAAUACCUUGCUGUUUUGACGGUACCAACAGAAUAAGCACCGGCUAACUUCGUG
rnacentral:rRNA from 1 species